rnacentral:lncRNA from 13 species
GGUUCACAAAUAACAUUAAGUGGAUCCCUAGACCUGUUGGGAAUUGAAUCACCAAUAGUCUGACCUAUAGGUAAAUUUCUCAUCCAGGUAUAAAAUUGCUGUUCAAAUUGUUGCCCUAAUGGUACUUCCUCGCAUGCAGUCUGUUGGAGAGCUAGUGAGAAAUAAGGCUGAAAAUAAUUAAAAGUCAGAACUUGAAGGAUCUUGUAAGUAUGUCAUUGUGAAGGUUAUUAAAUUACAGGUUAAAUUAAUUCUGCUUUCCUCAGUUUUCCAAAUUCUCUGAACAAUGUUUUACUCCCACUGUAUCUUUCUAUCAUAGACUAAUCCACAAAACCUACUGCCAGGCCUGGAAAGCUAGAAGCUGGAAAAGGGAAGUGAGAGUUCAUUUUGUAUUCUGGAUGUUGGCUAAGUACCAAGUUGUUCAGGAAAAAUAUCUCACAACACUUCCAAUCAGAAUUCAGAGGAAGUAAGUGCCUCAAUUAAAACUCAAUUUUUAAAAGUAACAUAUAAUUACAAUUGUAAUUAAAUAAAGUGACAGUUGUUAUAUCUUUUCUAAUUUUU